rnacentral:SRP_RNA from 1 species
AACUGGUCCUCUCGCAACGAUGUGCUGUCAACCCCGUCAGGCCCGGAAGGGAGCAGCGGUAGCAGAUUUUAUCGGGUGCCGGGAUACGGCGGGUUCCG